rnacentral:rRNA from 1 species
UACGUAGGGAGCAAGCGUUGUCCGGAAUCAUUGGGCGUAAAGGGCGCGUAGGCGGUCAAUUAAGUCAAGUGUGAAAAGCAUGGGCUCAACCCAUGAACUGCGCUUGAAACUGAUAGACUAGAGUACAGGAGAGGAAAGUGGAAUUCCUAGUGUAGCGGUGAAAUGCGUAGAUAUUAGGAAGAACAUCGAUGGCGAAGGCAGCUUUCUGGCCUGAAACUGACGCUGAGGCGCGAAAGCGUGGGGAG